GGGCGGCAGCCUUUAUGUUUGUUUUUUGAGGAAAUCGAAGUGCGUGCGAAGCAGGGGCUGAAGGCGGUGGCCUUUUUAUUUUUUGAGGGACUGAACAUGCGAGCGACGCAGGGGCUGAGGGACGGUGGCUUUUUUGUUUUUUGAGGCACUGGACGUGCGAGCGACGCAGGGGCUGAGGGCGGUGGCCUUUUUAUUUUUUGAGGGACUGGACGUAAGAGCGACGCAGGGGUUAAGGGCAGCAGCCUUUUUGUUUUUUGAGGGACUUGACUUACGAGCGACGCAAGGGCUGAGGGCGUUGGCUUUUUUGUUUUUUGAGAGAUUUGACGUGCGAGCGACGCAGGGGCUGAGGGCCGUGGCCUUUUUGUUUUUUUGAGGGACUUGACGUGCGAGCGACGCAAGGGCUGAGGGACGGUGGCUUUUUUGUUUUUUGAGGCACUGGACGUGCGAGCGACGCAGGGGCAGAGGGCGGCGGCUUUUUUUGUUUGUUUUUUGAGAGACUUGACGUGCGAGCGAUGCAGGGGUUUUAGUUUUUUGAGUAAUUUCCCUCUAAAAACAAA